ensembl:lncRNA
AUGCAACGAAACGAAGGAAGGAGGAACAACAAUAAUAUUCAUGGAAAAACCUGCACAGCAGAACAACAACACAACAGAACAACAACACAACAGAACAACAACACAACAGAACAACAACACAACAGAACAACAACACAACAGAACAACAACACAGAACAACAACACAGAACAACAACAGAACAACAACACAGCAGAACAACAACACAGAACAACAACACAACAGAACAACAACACAGCAGAACAACAACAACACAGAACAACAACACAGCAGAACAACAACACAACAGAACAACAACACAACAGAACAACAACACAGAACAACAACACAGCAGAACAACAACACAGAACAACAACACAGCAGAACAACAACACAACAGAACAACAACACAGCAGAACAACAACACAACAGAACAACAACACAGAACAACAACACAGCAGAACAACAACACAACAGAACAACAACACAGAACAACAACACAGCAGAACAACAACACAGCAGAACAACAACACAGAACAACAACACAGAACAACAACACAACAGAACAACAACACAGCAGAACAACAACACAGAACAACACAGCAGAACAACAACAACACAGAACAACAACACAGCAGAACAACAACACAACAGAACAACAACACAGCAGAACAACAACACAACAGAACAACAACACAACAGAACAACAACACAGCAGAACAACAACACAGCAGAACAACAACACAGAACAACAACACAGCAGAACAACAACACAACAGAACAGCAACACAGAACAACAACACAACAGAACAACAACACAUCAGAACAACAACACAGAACAACAACAACACAGAACAACAACACAGCAGAACAACAACACAACAGAACAGCAACACAGAACAACAACACAGCAGAACAACAACACAGAACAACAACACAGCAGAACAACAACACAACAGAACAACAACACAGAACAACAACACAGCAGAACAACAACACAGCAGAACAACAACACAGAACAACAACACAGAACAACAACACAACAGAACAACAACACAACAGAACAACAACACAGAACAACAACACAACAGAACAACAACACAACAGAACAACAACACAACAGAACAACGACACAGAACAACAACACAGCAGAACAACAACACAGAACAACAACACGACAGAACAACAACACAGCAGAACAACAACACGACAGAACAACAACACAACAGAACAACAACACAUGGAUUUAUCGCCGUGCUGUUGUGAAAGUGUUUCUGAGUUCUGGGACGACUUCAGGAUUUGAAAGUUUCCGGUGA